GCUAAGCUUCCAGUUAGUAAGGAUAAGGUACAAAUAUACUUAGACAAAGCAUGACUGAUAAAUGACAGUUUGUCUGCUGCAAUAAUGUCCUCAUUUUAAGGCACUAUCAAGCUAGACACACCUCUUCAUCAUUAGAAACCUUCUAGAAACCUGACAUGGCCUUAGGGCCAUUUCAUCUUCAUGGGAAUUCACCUUUCCCAUACAAACUGAAUGAAAUUACUUCUAGUAGCACUCUAACAAAUGCUUGUUGAUUUGAUGUUUAUGGUUCAACUACAAGAUGCUGAAAUUGAUGGGUCACCUUUAUGCCUUUCCAAGAAUGAAUGAUCCCUUCAAUCAGUCAGAUGAGGAAACUGAUGCAAAUAGGAUUAUGUGAUUUGUCCAGGAAAAAAAAAAGUAACUUUCCCAGGAAAAAAAUAACCCUAUUAAUGUGGCUGAGGAUCAUGUAAAUAUUUUUUUUUUCUUUUUUAAGAAGAGGAAGAUUAUCUGUGGCUAUUGAUCAUUUGCACCCCCAAUAGUUGUCAUUCAGAGGAGUAAACAGAAGUAAAAAGGUUGUGUAUAUGUGUCAA